GUGGUCAUGCCCACAUCUCAUAAUCUCCUCCCCAUCUAGGACUUCAUGUGGGGUCUGGUGACACUUACAGACAUCACAAUAAGGUAUAUGAUUGGCUCCAGCCAGCUGGGCCUCACAGCCUGCUCUAGACCUUGAUUUCUCAGAGGCCCAGAGAGAGACAGGGGCUUGCUCAAGGUGCCCCGGCAUCUGGAGCUGCACGAGUGGGAAGGGAAGCCCAGGACACUGGAUGGCAGGGGGAGAGGAAUGAGCCUGGAGGAGGGGCUUGAGCAAAAGGGUCAGAGGGGCUUUCUGGAGGAGGGAAGACAUUCAUGAGAAGUCCUCAGCUCUUGCAGGGAGUGAUUCUCGCACUCAGCACGCUCUGAUUACCAGAGUGACCUGAGCAGCUGCCUCACGUCUCCUCAACGACGGAGCCCAUAGGCGAGUGACAUGAGAGGAGGCUGCAGGCAGGCCUUCCCCCCACUGUUCUGCAGCCCUGCUGUCCCCCCAGCCACUCUGGCACCCCUCACGGCAAGGGAGCCUGGGGGCAGAGGGUGGACGGAUUUGUUGGCUUGAUUCGCAUGAUGUAUCAGUUACUUCAUGAGGUGUGAGGUACAUUCCGGAGGAACAGAGGAGCGGGAGCCCACUUGCCCCAGCCCUUUGCAGAAGGACCCGCCCGGGAGGGAGGUAGUUUACCCCACCCCAGGGAAGAGGAACUCAUUGAGAAGAGCCCCACACUCCCCUCGAUGGGGGCAGAGACUCUAAUGUUUUCUGAGGGGUUCAGCAGUGCCAGGAGAGAGAUGCACUGCUGUGCACGUAAUAAACGGUUCAUGCCAUUCUUCA